CUGAACACACAGAGAGACCUACACAGACUGGAGACCAGCUCUGAACACACAGAGAGACCUACACAGACUGGAGACCAGCUCUGAACACACAGAGAGACCUACACAGACUGGAGACCAGCUCUGAACACACAGAGAGACCUACAGAGAGACCUACACAGACUGGAGACCAGCUCUGAACACACAGAGAGACCUACACAGACUGGAGACCAGCUCUGAACACACAGAGAGACCUACACAGACAGACUGAGACACAGUACUAACACACACACACACACACAGCACUACCAGACACACCAGCCAUGAAGAGGAAGGAUGAAGCUCGUACCGAGGGCCUGGAUCUUAGAAAGUCCUGAUGUGACAGAAAGAAGAGACAGUACAUGUAGGAAGGACAUGCUGGUGCUCACUACAGUAGCCCCGCCCCCACCCCUCCCACAAUGCUUUGGGUUUGUUCCUGUCUCACUACAGUAGCCCCGCCCCCGCCCCUCCCACAAUGCUUUGGGUUUGUUCCUGUCUCACUACAGUAGCCCCGCCCCCGCCCCUCCCACAAUGCUUUGGGUUUGUUCCUGUCUCACUACAGUAGCCCCGCCCCCACCCCUCCCACAAUGCUUUGGGUUUGUUCCUGUCUCACUACAGUAGCCCCGCCCCCGCCCCUCCCACAAUGCUUUGGGUUUGUUGAACUCUUGUUCAUCUGGGGGGGGUUCCCUCUAAAUGGACGAGUCUCUGGACAGAAAACCUGGCUGAACAAGUGUUUCAGGUGUGGAUUUAAAUAUUCAGAUGUUUUGGUGUCGUAAACAUCCUGAUGUAUCAUAUUGAAGAGAUAUAUACAGUGUGAUGGACAUUUAACUGAACAUCAAGGACAGACGUCACUAUAUUUUAAAGGUUAUACUGUGUAUCUGGAGUCAGGGUGGAGGGGGGGGGGUAACAGGAUGUUUUAGUCAGGAAGUGGUUGAAUAUAAACUCUGGUGUUAUUAUUAUAAUUGAUCCGAUGUUAUUAACUUUAUAUAAUUAUAGAUAGUCUGUUCUAUAUAGAGGUUAUUUUGAGUCUGGUCUCAGACCACACACACACACACACACACACACACACACCAGAGAGAGACGUCUCAGACACACACACACCGAGAGAGAGACAUGUCUCACAGACACACACACACCCGAGAGAGACAUCUUAGACACACACAGAGAGAGAGUGACGUCUCGGACACACACACCGAGAGAGACAUCUUAGACACACACAGAGAGAGAGUGACGUCUCAGACACACACACCGAGAGAGACAUCUUAGACACACACAGAGAGAGAGUGACGUCUCGGACAGACACACCGAGAGAGUGACGUCUCGGACACACACACCGAGAGAGUGACGUCUCGGACACACACACCGAGAGAGUGACGUCUCGGACACACACACCGAGAGAGUGACGUCUCGGACACACACACCGAGAGAGUGACGUCUCGGACACACACACCGAGAGAGUGACGUCUCGGACACACACACCGAGAGAGUGACGUCUCGGACACACACACCGAGUGACGUCUCGGACACACACACCGAGAGAGUGACGUCUCGGACACACACACCGAGAGAGUGACGUCUCGGACACACACACCGAGAGAGACUGACGUCUCGGACACACACACCGAGAGAGAGUGACGUCUCGGACACACACACCGAGAGAGGGAGAGACGUCUCGGACACACACACCGAGAGAGGGAGAGACGUCUCGGACACACACACCGAGAGAGGGAGAGACGUCUCGGACACACACACCGAGAGAGGGAGAGACGUCUCGGACACACACACCGAGAGAGGGAGAGACGUCUCGGACACACACACCGAGAGAGUGAGAGACGUCUCGGACACACACACCGAGAGAGUGACGUCUCGGACACACACACCGAGAGAGAGGGAGAGACGUCUCGGACACACACACCGAGAGAGGGAGAGACGUCUCGGACACACACACCGAGAGAGGGAGAGACGUCUCGGACACACACACCGAGAGAGGGAGAGACGUCUCGGACACACACACCGAGAGAGUGAGAGAGACGUCUCGGACACACACACCGAGAGAGAGAGACGUCUCAAUCGAGAGACGAGGUGGUCUGAUCUAGACAGAGGAGAUAUGAACCAGGUCACAUGCCCAUAUUAUUUAUCACACACAGAGACCUUGUUUCACGGUUAAUAUUUGGACCCCACGGGGGGGGGGGUGUAUGUGUGUAGUGUGUGUUUGGUAAGUCUAGGUACUGUACGGUGUGUUGUAUUUUACCCGCCCCAUCCUAUUUCAGUUCAAGAGGGUUGAUUUGUUCCAUCUCAAACACACACCUUUAUAUAGAACAGAAUAGAACAACCUCUGGUCAUAUAGAACAACCUCUGGUCAUGUAGAACAACCUCUGGUCAUGUAGAACAACCUCUGGUCAUGUAGAACAACCUCUGGUCAUGUAGAACAACCUCUGGUCAUGUAGAACAACCUCUGGUCAUGUAGAACAACCUCUGGUCAUGUAGAACAACCUCUGGUCAUGUAGAACA
ensembl:lncRNA